GUGAACCUGCGGAAGGAUCAUUACCUAGAGUUUCGGGCUUUGCCUGCUAUCUCUUACCCAUGUCUUUUGAGUACUUUCGUUUCCUCGGUGGGUUCGCCCGCCGAUUGGACAAUUUAAACCCUUUGCAGUUGCAAUCAGCGUCUGAAAAAAAUUAAUAAUUACAACUUUCAACAACGGAUCUCUUGGUUCUGGCAUCGAUGAAGAACGCAGCGAAAUGCGAUAAGUAGUGUGAAUUGCAGAAUUCAGUGAAUCAUCGAAUCUUUGAACGCACAUUGCGCCCCUUGGUAUUCCAUGGGGCAUGCCUGUUCGAGCGUCAUUUGUACCUUCAAGCUUUGCUUGGUGUUGGGUGUUUGUCUCGCCUUUGCGUGUAGACUCGCCUCAAAACAAUUGGCAGCCGGCGUAUUGAUUUCGGAGCGCAGUACAUCUCGCGCUUUGCAGUCUCAACGACGACGUCCAAAAGUACAUUUUUCACUCUUGACCUCGGAUCAGGUAGGGAUACCCGCUGAACUUAA
rnacentral:rRNA from 1 species